UACGACCAUAUCACGUUGAAAUACCGCUUCCCGUACGAUCACCGAAGUUAAGCAACGUCGUGCAUGGACAGAAUCUAAAUGGGUGACCGCUUGGGAAUACCAGGUGCUGUAA